AGUCCCUUAUUUGUUUACUCCUCUGAUGUUCCUGCUGUUUCUCUUGUGUCCACUCCCUUCUCGGGUAGUGGUUAUGGGGGUUGGAGAAGGAAAAUGAUUGUAGCGUUGUCUGCUAAAAAUAAAAUUGGCUUUGUGUCCACUCCCUUCUCGGGUAGUGGUUAUGGGGGUUGGAUAAGGAAAAUGAUUGUAGCGUUGUCUACUAAAAAUAAAAUUGCCUUUGUUGAUGGUACAUGUCCCAGACCAGACACUAAUGUGGCUGAACAAAAGUUAUGAGACAGAUGUAAUAAUAUGGUAAUAUCCUGGUUGACUACUUCCUUAUCCCCUCAGAUAGCUGAGAGUGUCCAGUAUUCUG
rnacentral:lncRNA from 1 species